UACGGGGGGAGCAAGCGUUGUUCGGAUUUACUGGGCGUAAAGGGCGCGUAGGCGGCCAGCACAAGUCAGUUGUGAAAUCUCCGAGCUUAACUCGGAAAGGUCAACUGAUACUGUGCGGCUAGAGUGCGGAAGGGGCAACUGGAAUUUUUGGUGUAGCGGUGAAAUGCGUAGAUAUCAAGAGGAACACCUGCGGCGAAGGCGGGUUGCUGGGCCGACACUGACGCUGAGGCGCGAAAGCUAGGGGAGCGAACGGG
rnacentral:rRNA from 1 species